UACAGAGGAGCCAAGCGUUGUCCGGAUUGACUGGGCGUAAAGCGCACGCAGGCGGUUUCGCGCGUGGGGGGUGAAAUCUGGCCGCUUAACGGCCAGGCGCCAUCCCAUACGGCGCGACUGGAGUGAUGCAGAGGUCGAUGGAAUUGCCGGUGUAGUGGUGAAAUGCGUAGAGAUCGGCAGGAACACCCAGGGGGAAACCAGUCGACUGGGCAUCUACUGACGCUGAGGUGCGAGAGCGUGGGGAGCGAACCGG
rnacentral:rRNA from 1 species